rnacentral:rRNA from 1 species
CCUGGCAGCCAUAUCACCCUGUAGCCCAAGCCUGGUUGCCCACUGAAGCUAAGCAGGGCUGAGCCUGGUCAGUACCUGCUGCACACUGGUGGUGGAUGAGGA